CAUGAUAAACAGUAGAAAUAUGGCUAGCUUUGAUGUAAUUGUUUAGCGCUGGGUCUAGAAUAAGAUGAUUUGUUGUGGUUAUAGAGAUGAUAUUGUCAUCAUGGACAAAUUUAGUACAAGUUAAGAAUUCAAUAGCACAAGGCAGAUUUUCCAUCCUUGAAACAACAAUGAGAGCUUGCAGGCAAAUGAUGCAGUAACACAUCUCUUGAAUCCAACUGAACUGACAUAUGACAUAAUGAUGGAAAUCCAUGUGCUCUUUUGUGCCCUCAACUGUGUUCACGCCACUCAGCAGACCUCUUCCAGAUUCUCCAGGAUGUCGUCUUUUUUAUCAUCAAAGAGGCCUCAUCCAUUGAACGAGUUCACGUAUCAGCAGGCCAUGGGGAAGAGCUGAAUGGAUUAAAGCAUUGGGACCCUAAUCCUUAUCAUCAAGAGUGCAGAAUUUAAGAAGCACAAUUAGUCACCAAGAAAACAGA